ensembl:lncRNA
CACAGGCAGCCACCUGAUUCCAGACUACAAAGACGCAGACCACCAGACCACCAGACCAAGAUGGAAAUUUAGCCCUAAGUAACAAGUGGAAACUUCAGGAAGAUUUAGACCUAAAUAUACUGAUGAAAAGAUCGAAUCCAUAAUCUUACUAUUUCUCUGUUGAAAUCUUGACAAACAGGUGAAUUAAAUGAUUGGAAAUAGACACAAAUCACUGCUGACAAAAUUGUUGAACCUGAGGAAUGUUUUGACUUGAUGAAAAAGUGGAGGAUUUAAUGUUUCAUAGAUUUUAAAAUGACUCUGAUUCCAGAAAGAAAAACCUCCAAAAUUACAUGACUCAGAAAUAGUCAAGUGAGUAGCUAUGCAAGAUGACUACUUGGAAAAAUAAGUCAUUCAAAUCUGUAUCUUCUGCAGUUUUAUAUCAUACAUCAGCUUGGUGG